UGAAGUGGGAAGAGCUCAAAUUUGAAAUCUGGCGGUUCUGGCUGUCCGAGUUGUAAUCUAGAGAAGUGUUACCUGCGCUGGGCCGUGUACAAGUCUCCUGGAACGGAGCGUCAUAGAGGGUGAGAAUCCCGUCUCUGACACGGACUACCAGGGCUUUGUGGUAUACUCUCAAAGAGUCGAGUUGUUUGGGAAUGCAGCUCAAAAUGGGUGGUAAACUCCAUCUAAAGCUAAAUACUGGCGAGAGACCGAUAGUGAACAAGUACCGUGAGGGAAAGAUGAAAAGAACUUUGGAAAGAGAGUUAAACAGUACGUGAAAUUGCUGAAAGGGAAACGCUUGAAGUCAGUCGCGUUGGCUGGGGAUCAGCCUCACAAAUAAGUGUGGUGUAUUUCCUGGUUGGACGGGUCAGCAUCAAUUUUGACCACUGGAGAAAGGCUUGGGGAAUGUAGCAGCCCUGGCUGUGUUAUAGCCUCUUGUCAGAUACAGUGGUUGGGAUUGAGGUGUGCAGCACGCCGCGAGGCCGGGGCUAAAACAGCCCACGUUCGUGCUUAGGAUGUUGACAUAAUGGCUUUAAGCGACCCGUCUUGAAACACGGACCAAGGAGUCUAACAUGCCUGCGAGUGUUUGGGUGGAAAACCCGUGCGCGCAAUGAAAGUGAAAGUUGAGAUCCCUGUCGUGGGGAGCAUCGACGCCCGGACCUGAACUUUUGGGAUGGAUCUGCGGUAGAGCAUGUAUGUUGGGACCCGAAAGAUGGUGAACUAUGCCUGAAUAGGGCGAAGCCAGAGGAAACUCUGGUGGAGGCUCGUAGCGAUUCUGA
rnacentral:rRNA from 1 species